rnacentral:rRNA from 1 species
GAUGAACGCUAGCGGCGUGCCUAAUACAUGCAAGUCGAGCGAACAGACGAGGAGCUUGCUCCUCUGACGUUAGCGGCGGACGGGUGAGUAACACGUGGAUAACCUACCUAUAAGACUGGGAUAACUUCGGGAAACCGGAGCUAAUACCGGAUAAUAUAUUGAACCGCAUGGUUCAAUAGUGAAAGACGGUUUUGCUGUCACUUAUAGAUGGAUCCGCGCCGCAUUAGCUAGUUGGUAAGGUAACGGCUUACCAAGGCAACGAUGCGUAGCCGACCUGAGAGGGGGAGCGGCCACACUGGAACGGAGACACGGUCCAGACUCCUACGGGAGGCAGCAGUAGGGAAUCUUCCGCAAUGGGCGAAAGCCUGACGGAGCAACGCCGCGUGAGUGAUGAAGGUCUUCGGAUCGUAAAACUCUGUUAUUAGGGAAGAACAAAUGUGUAAGUAACUAUGCACGCCUUGACGGUACCUAAUCAGAAAGCCACGGCUAACUACGUG